CCUACGGGUGGCAGCAGUGAGGAAUAUUGGUCAAUGGACGGAAGCCUGAACCAGCCACGCCGCGUGCAGGAAGACGGCUCUAUGAGUUGUAAACUGCUUUUGUACAAGGGUAAACCUGAAUACGUGUAUUCAGCUGAAAGUACUUUACGAAUAAGGAUCGGCCAACUCCGUGCGAGCAGCCGCGGGAAUACGGAGGUGCCAAGCGUUAUCCGGAUUUAUUGGGUUGAAAGGGUGCGUAGGCGGAUUGAUAAGUUAGAGGUGAAAUGUCCGGGCUCAACCCGGGAACUGCCUCUAAUACUGGUGAUCUAGAGAGUAGGUGCGGUAGGCGGAAUGUAUGGUGUAGCGGUGAAAUGCUUAGAGAUCAGACGGAACACCAGUUGCGAAGGCGGCUUGC
rnacentral:rRNA from 1 species